rnacentral:siRNA from 1 species
CAAUGGUACCAAACCUAACCCC